rnacentral:misc_RNA from 1 species
GUGAAGCUCAUCGCAACUGUUCUUCCCAACUGUCCCUCUCAGUAUAAACUGAUGCACUGCUUCACACACUGAACAACUCUUGAAUUAGUAUUUUCAUGGAGAGAGUAGAUCCUGGGACCCGUACCAGUCUGUUUUCAAUCUCAACAGACACCUGCAAACCUAGUGUGCAGAAGAAAUUGAACAGAAUGCUUUGAGAAUGAACCAGUUGCUAUAUAUAGAAAAUUUAAGUAAUUGAAAUAGCAAUACAGAAGAAAAGAAGUCUCCCUAUAUUUACAAGUGCAAUCUCAUUGUUAUAAAUGUGCCAUCUUGAUUUCGUCAUAUCAUUGUUGUAAGGACAGUGUCCUGAGUUUAUAUGGCUAAGGUGUAUGUAAUAUGUAUUAUGUAGAGGAUAUUCACAUGUGAUUUGUUGUUACCAUGGUAAAUAAAAGUAAAAUUA